rnacentral:sRNA from 1 species
CGCUUGGGAGCAAACUCAUGCAAUGUCAAUGUAUUACGCGACGUACUGAGAUCGUUGAAGCUAUAUUAAAGGGUAAGGAAGUUGAGGAAUGGAAGCCAGAGCUCAGCACAUCAUCUAUACCAUUCAUUAAAUCUGAUCAAUAUUGCCGCUGGCUGAACAAUUCUCCCUAUGUGUGGUAGAAACAAAAGACGGUUCCGAUGCGGCACGAUGGACACUUCGGCCCUGGCAGCCAUUUGGCGGUAUCAAGUAUUACGAAAAUUCCACUACUGGCCCGUCUGGCAGGAGGAUCAUGUGUGAUGAGCAAGAGUCGACAUCAAUGUUUACGAGCUCGGACUAUUGUGGAAAAGCUGAUUGUUUGCUGUCCCUCAAGCAUGGCUUAUGGGACUGCUGCAGUUGCACUGAAACUGGC